AAUCAUUCCCACUGUUCUCUUUCCCUAUUGCAAGUGGAAUCAACAAACUAUGAGCCUUGGCUUGCUGUGAUGACUAAACUGGUGCUCAUGAUUUGUUUUUCUCCAAAUAAACCACAAUCUGGAGUGAAGGUUUCUUACUGGCUUCCUGGUUGUGACUUGUUUGGGAGAAACAAACCUUGGGCACUGGUUCAGAUAUCAUGGUAAGUCAAGGUUUGUGGUUUGUUGCUCCUGCUGUUGCUUGGAGAGGAGUGCAGCAGGAAGGAUU